GAUGAGAACGCAGCGAGAUGCGAUAAGUAAUGUGAAUUGCAGAAUUCAGUGAAUCAUCGAAUCUUUGAACGCACAUUGCGCCCGCCAGUAUUCUGGCGGGCAUGCCUGUCUGAGCGUCAUUUCAACCCUCAUGCCCCUAGGGCGUGGUGUUGGGGAUCGGCCAAAGCCCGCGAGGGACGGCCGGCCCCUAAAUCUAGUGGCGGACCCGUCGUGGCCUCCUCUGCGAAGUAGUGAUAUUCCGCAUCGGAGAGCGACGAGCCCCUGCCGUUAAACCCCCAACUUUCCAAGGUUGACCUCAGAUCAGGUAGGAAUACCCGCUGAACUUAAGCAUAUCAAUAAGCGGAGGA
rnacentral:misc_RNA from 1 species